UAUGGCCUAUAUUUGAAUAGUUGUGGGAAUAACUGUGGGAACAUGGAGCAGCAAGAAUAAGCUGUGGGACCAAUGGGCUGUGGGAACAUAGAGCAGCUGACCCCCAACAGGGUCUUCAUGGUUGUAUGACCUGAAUACAUUUUCAAAGCGGAGCCACAGGAUGCGGACUUCUACUCUUUUCCACUAUUAGACGCGCCUUUGUCCUGCACCUGGCCUCAGCGAGGUGGGAUGUGCAUACUCUUACUUUUAUAAAAAUGUUGUAUAUUGACCACUAAUUCUGUGCAUGCUGUCAUACAGAGAUGAUGACCCAUUCCUGAAGUUGGACGCCAGAAUGCAGGAAGGUGCUGUUUAAGAGCCUAGGCGGUGGAAGAAGCACUUGCAGGUAUGCUACCGACCAGGCUCCUCAACAUCAAUCCGAGACGGAAGAUGAACCGGGAUGAAGCAGUUAGAUUGAGACAAGGCGGCCGGAAACUUUGAUGACCUCAAUGACACUGGCUAGGUGAAGGACAUCAACAAAAUGGCAUCAGGUCACCAGACAUCAGCUCAUAAUCCACAACGUCAUCAACCAUUUUGCGCCAAAAAUGAAGCCGUUCACAUACCAUGGCAUCCUAAGCAGGUAAUUUCAUACCUCUCAGUAACCUCAGAAUGUAUUAACAGAAU